rnacentral:misc_RNA from 1 species
GUAUUAUAAUUUGUUAAUUUUUUAAUUACAGUCAAGUUGUUCAGGCAUGAGUUAGAUUAAAGAAGACUCUGGCAAAGACGGAAAAUCUUUUGCCAAAGCAUAUUUCAAUGCGUGCACAUGGUGGAUGAUCAGGCUAUAAAAACCUUGUAAUGAUCCUUCCGCAGGUUCACCUACGGAAA